GCAUGGUGUUUAUAAAAACACAGGCGACGAAAGGUUACGAUGGAAUAGUUGUUUGUUUGUUUGUUUGUUUUAUUAAGACCUCUGCUGUCAAAGACACCCUUUGUCUCUGAUGUGGACUGUCUGUGCCUUGACAGUAUAUGAAUGAAUGAAUGAAUGACCUUAAUUGUACACGGUGCAAUGCAUGGCAGUAACUAUUACACAGAGUGUGAAAUAAAGGUAUUGGGUAAGACUGAAUAUCCUUAUUACUAUAACAAUAAAUGCUAGCAUAAAUUUCGAUAUCAAAUUUCAAUCGAGCGGGGAUUAUCAUGAGCGUCAGUAUAUUUUCUAAUAACAUUGUUAACAAAGCUGUCUCCUAUAUUUGCCUAUUUUUGCGUUGUGCCAUUGAAGAUACUUUAUAUUUAUAUACAUUCAAAUCUGUCUGUAGCAUCUAGUCUCUUAAAAUCUGAUCUACUUGAUUCUAUAAAUGUUAAUAACUUACGACGUAACGUAUUAUAUCUAGAAUAAUCUACAACGAAGUGGAAUUCAUUUUCAUAUGGAUAAAAUGUUGGUUUAUUAGGGGAUUAAUCGCCUCAUGGCCGAUUGACAAUGUCACACUGGUGACCCUAAGUAGCCCAUUGAGAGUCCCAAAGCACAGACUGCCAGACCAGCUGCAUGCAGGACAUCUGGAGCGGAUUUCAGCCCAUUCCAGUAUACCGUGCCCGUGGGGACAGCUGUGUCUGUUAAAUCAUAACACUCGCACCACAUGUACAACUGAAACCCGAGCUCAGGGGACAGUGUUAAACAGGUGCCCACUGACAAGCUUAGUACUGGGAGUUGAUGGGGACAUCUGUGGAAACGUUCCACUCGCAACACCACCUGUACAACUGGAUCCUAUGCUUAGGGGACAGUGUUUAAAACAGGUACUAGUACCCACUGUCACGUUAUUGUUGACGCAAAUUUUACAUCAAUGAAUGUAAAUCUUACAUUAGAAUCUCAAAUAGGCUAUGCAGCAAAGAAGUGCAAUAUCAGCAUGAUCAAGAUCCACGCAGACAGAAGGUGGCACUGAUUUAAGCUGGUACUGACACGGCUGGGUACAUCUAAGGAUAAAAACAACUUCAAGUUUCAAGCGAUACAAAACAGAGCGGCCAGGAUCACCCUUAGAUGCGACAGGUCCGACAGGUCCAGAGACUCUUUACAGUUUACUGCAGAUGCUAAUGUUAGUGCCGUUAAACUUGAAAAACAUGAUCCAGCAGAAAACUUAGUGACUUUUCAUGAGUCAUGAAAACAAACCAUAAGUGUCAAUAUGUAGACUACUCACAAUGCAAGAUCACUGUUAUCAGACCAAAUCUUCAAAGUCAGAAAAUAUCCGCUCUCUGAAACCCAGAACAAAUUUAAAUGCUCAAAACUGAACAAUUUCUGCACAGAACGUCUAACACAUGGAAUAGUUUGCUGUAAGGAAAUUAGAUUUUGUCCCAUUGUUCAUGGAUCUUACGUAGACUUCCUACUUUUUGUGACUCUUUUGAAAAGUUGCUGUAUAUGAUAUUUUCCUGUGGCUGUGUGUUAUCUAGAUUUGUUCCAUGGAUAUUGAUGAAUAAAGGAUAACAGGAAGAAUACAGAUGCUAUAGACAUUGUAAAAGCUAAUCGUGUCUCCAAAUAAAUUCAUAGGAUGUUACCAACAUAUAGAUAGCUGUGUGUCAGUACUGUUAUCAAUUACCACAUGUGCAAUGAUUGAUGACCAGAUGGACAGACAGCUGGGCGGAGAUUUGUGUGGAAAGCAGGGUGGACGUUAUUUGUUGGGAGGAAAAGUGGGAGGAGAGAAGGGUGGACCUUAUUGGGUGUUUACAUGUUAGAUCAACCCAAAGGCGGAGCACAGAGAUAGGGAAGAGCAUUCGAGAACUUUUGAGUGAACACAAUAGACCCUCCAGUGAUGGGAGCAGACGUACUGGAUGGGAGCAGACGUAAUCAGGCGUCUAGUCUAUCAUCGUUCAGGCGAUCUUUGGCCGAGUUUUCUUGGGGACAGACGGACACAGAACAGCACAAAAGGAAUUACAACAUAUGAAGGAUGGAAAGAUGGCCCAACCAGAUCCCACAGCUUGUCAUGAGAACAAGUUACACAGACGGAUGCUGUUCAAACAAUUUUCCUGAACAGCGAGCUCUACAAGGCGACAACGACAACAGUCACAAGAAAUUAAUAGUUGAACUUGGGCGACAAUCAGAUUGAUAGUAACCGUAGCUUUACAAUGCAACACAAUCUAUCACCUCAACGAAACGGAAGUCAAUGCACAUGUAGUCAGGCUUGACUCUAUAGUUCCAGGAAUUUUGUAAGCAUGCAAACAAUUUAUUAUACGGCCAACAGAAUUACAAAAGAAAUGUUUUGCUUGAAUGUAUUACCAAGUGUCAUUGUUAUAGAAGUAAAUCCAAAGUUAUAGGAAUGACGCAUCGUUGCCAUUCUCUGCCAGGUUUUUAUAUUCUCUGUGUUUUGUCUUGAGAUAUGAUAAAAGUAUAUAUGAUGUGUAUGUUGAUGAAAUAAAAGGUAUAGGCAAUUGUGUGGAUCGUUUGUUUUGGAAAUGAGUAGUCUUUAAAAUGUGGACAGUCAUGGCCUUUUCUGCUUUCUACAAAUAUCUUGCAAAUAAAAAUUGUUUCAAAUCAGAUUUAAUAGAUUCAAAAUACGACUGUGUUCACAGGUGAAACAAAAAAAACCUACUUUAAACAUUAAAGCUUUAAUAUAGUGUUCCUAUUUCUCUCAAAGAACACCAAAAGAGCGAUUGAGAGUUGUAAUAUAAAUCUUAAUUGCCAGAAACAGAAAAACGUCCUUAAUGCAUUGAUUAUGACAAUGUUUUUUUGUGCUGAAAGAAGCAAAUUGCCCGAAACAAUAAAUCAUGUGACGGUAAAAUACCAAGCAACAAAGGCCAUUUCUGUUCCGACAAAAGACCAAACAGGCAAAGGCUACCUCAAAACGAAUUCCCCAGGGAAUGCAUUCGUGCAAUUUUUGGAAUAUUUUCAAAGCAAUCGUAAUACUGUAGAAUGCCUCCGCCCCUGAGGCG